AUCGAGCCCGCAACCUGGGCAUAUGCCCUGACGAGGAAUCGAACAGCGACCUCCUCAUUCAUAGGUUGAUGCUCAACCACUGAGCCAUGCCAGCCGGGCUCUAGUAACUUGUUUCUACGCAACAGAAUAUAGAAUGUCAUUCCUGGGAUUAGGUUAUAAAAAAGACUGACUUCUAUCUUGCUGGCAUUCUCUCUGGAUCUUACAUGCUUGCCUUGAUGAAGAGGCCCAUAUGGCAAGAAACUGAGGGCAACCUCUGGCCAACACCUGGACUUGGAGACUGCAGAUGGAGCACCCUGAAUGCAGCCUGAUUGAAGACUGCAAUGUAAGCCAUGCCCGGAUUCCUGACCCACAGAAACUAUGAGAUUUAUUUUGUUACAUUAUUGUUAUUUUGGAUUUUCCCUUAUGUAUACCCAACCUGACUCUAACUCCUAGAGGGCUUAAGUGUUCCACACCUCCUCACAAUCCUUGCAUUCCUCAUUCCCUUUAUACUGCUCUCUGAUAGCCCCCAAAACUAUGCUUUUAAUGGACACUUCAUUCCAGGUGACCACUGGCAAUAAAUUGGUGAACUGGU